rnacentral:rRNA from 1 species
AUUGAACGCUGCGGCAGGCCUAACACAUGCAAGUCGAGCGAGCGGCGGACGGGUGAGUAAUGCUUAGGAAUCUGCCUAUUAGUGGGGGACAACAUCUCGAAAGGGAAGCUAAUACCGCAUACUAAUAGAUGAGCCUAAGUCGGAUUAGCUAGUUGGUGGGGUAAAGGCCUACCAAGGCGACGAUCUGUAGCGGGUCUGAGAGGAUGAUCCGCCACAAUGGUGAAGAGAAACGGCCCCGAAGUCUACAGGAGGCAGCAGGGGGGAAUAGUGGGAAAUGGGGGGAAGACUGAUAGAGUGAUGGCGGGUGGGGGAAGUAGGGAUUAUGGUUGUAAAGGGCUGUAUGCGAGGAGGCGGUAUUCGCAGGAUAAGCACCGGCUAACUUUGUGCCAGCAGCCGCGGUAAUUC